rnacentral:lncRNA from 1 species
UCCGACCUCCCAAAGGAGCUCAAGUCAUCAGGUAGAGAGACUUUAAUCUCACACAACAGCCAAAAGUACCAAAGCAUCAUGCCGAUCUCAAGAAAACGAGCGCAGUACUGGUAAACCCGAUAAGACAGACCGAAUUAAGGCAAGGCGAUUCCUAAGCAAACUGCAUACCAAAAUACAAAGUCAAACAAAGAAUCAGGGACAAUCAUGAGAGGCAACGACCUCGAGAAUUGACCGCUCACACUAAACCAACUCAGCUGACCUAGAGAAAGGUCCAAGCAACAAAGAGCCCACAAAACGCUCGAAAGAAGACAGCCCAUAAAUACUCAGGGGCAAAAAACAUACACAAAAGUCCAACGCUCAGGCAAAAAUAAUAAAAAGGCAAGAAAGGGAUACUUUCGACAGGAGCAGUUCUCAGACCACACGGUCAUGAAUAGAGUUUAAAGAUUUAUCCCCUCACCAGUCAUGGAAUAACUGUUGAGGAGAUAAAGGGGCAAUUGAUGAUCGCUGGAUUUCUUCACCCCGGUAUAAAGGCCAGGCCCAUGAAAACAGUCCAUGAUCCGAAGGCUUCAAUAUUCCCCUCGAGAGCCAGGU